rnacentral:rRNA from 1 species
UGGGGAAUCUUGCACAAUGGGGGAAACCCUGAUGCAGCGACGCCGCGUGAACGAUGAAGCCCUUCGGGGUGUAAAGUUCUUUCGACAGGAACGAUAAUGACGGUACCUGGAGAAGAAGCUGCGGCUAACUACGUGCCAGCAGCCGCGGUAAUACGUAGGCAGCGAGCGUUGUUCGGAGUUACUGGGCGUAAAGAGUGCGUAGGCGGCGAGCCAGGUUUGGUGUGAAAUCUCCCGGCUUAACCGGGAGGGUGCGCCGAAAACUGGUUGGCUGGAGUAUGGGAGAGGAAAGCGGAAUUCCUGGUGUAGCGGUGAAAUGCGUAGAUAUCAGGAGGAACACCUGCGGUGUAGACAGCUUUCUGGACCAAAACUGACGCUGAGGCACGAAAGCGUGGGUAGCAAACA